ACGAACGAGACUGAAACCUAUUAAUUAAUUAUUUAUCCAUUGAGGUGAAUAUAUUUUUUAUUAAAUACGUGUUUACACGAUUACUUAAAGGGACACAUUUCAAUUGUUUUUUAUUAAUUUCAUGAUAAAGUAUUACUUUAACUGAUUUUAAUGAGAAAAAAAGGAAAUGGGAGCAUUCAGCAAUAACAGGUCUGUGAUGCCCUUAAACAUCUUGGGCUGCACGCGCGCUACAAUGAAGUUUCUAUAGAGUAGUGUAUUGGAAGGUGGUGUUAUAUGAGACUUUGUUUUAUAUAAUA
rnacentral:rRNA from 1 species